UUGAAAAACAAACAAACGACUCUCAGCAACGGAUAUCUUGGCUCUUGCAACGAUGAAGAACGCAGCGAAAUGCGAUACCUAGUGUGAAUUGCAGAAUUCCGUGAAUCAUCGAGUCUUUGAACGCAAGUUGCGCCCGAGGCUUGUCCCGAGGGCAUGCCUGC
rnacentral:rRNA from 1 species